rnacentral:sRNA from 1 species
ACCUAAACCGGGGAUUGAAACGGCAUCGUUUUUGGUUUGGAGAUUUUAAUGAAACGGUGCUUUAACAAAAAAGAUUUAGUGUAAAGCCGGACAAGUA